rnacentral:misc_RNA from 1 species
AAGUUAGCUAUUUCUUUCUGUUUCUUGUUCAGUGUUCUCGUUCAUUGAUUCAUAUUCUGAGGUCGAACGUUCUCCGGUACCAUUGAUUGUUAUUAGUUUCCUUGCAUUAAAAGAAGAUCCAAUCCAUCAUUAUAGGAUGACGACCAUGGAGGAGCGUCAAUCUCUGGCCAAAUUGGAGGCUUUAAAAGAUAUCCGCAAUAAGACGAUUGCAUUGGAGAAAUUGCGACUUCGACUUCUUCACGACAUUGAGUGUGUGGAGGGUGAAGAGAAGUGCCUGGGGGAGUAUCGGCGGGAAAUGGAGUUUCUUCAACAGGAGAAAAUGGCUCAUGUAGAGGAACUGCGACAAAUUCACGCGGACAUCAAUGCUAUGGAAACCGUGAUGAAGCAGGCCGAAGAGGCUCGUCGGGGAUCUCAGGAAUCCGCUCGUCGUAUUUAUGAGGACUACGGUCCACUCAAGCAAGACGUGGAUCUGAUGCGAACUGAGCUUCUUGGUCUGGAAAAACUGCCUGAUCUUCUUACGGAUUCCAAGGAUAAACUCACAUCCAUGGGAAUUUCGGAUAAACCCAAAAUGCCAAACAUGAUGCUGGAACCCUGGCAUCAUCAUCAUCCACACUCGGAAGAAUCCAAAUCCUUUGCUUCUCUCAUGUCUUUAGGGAGAGCUGCCGCCGCGGCUGCUGCUGCCGGCAAUGCACCUCCUCCACCUCCAAAUCCAUUUUUGGCAGCGGCAGCUGCGCAACAUUCAGCAAUGGGACUAGGUCCGCUCCCCGGGAUGGGCUCAAAAGGAUCCUCUGCCGUAUCUUCUAAUGAACUACGUAAUUCAUCAAGUGGCCCCACAGCCGUUCCACCUCCAUUUAGGUAUAGACAACAACCACCUCCAAUGAAGUCUUGUCUCUCAUGUCAUCAACAAAUCCAUCGAAAUGCUCCAAUUUGUCCCCUCUGCAAAGCCAAAUCUCGAUCUCGUAAUCCAAAAAAGCCAAAGAAGAAAGAAUAACAUUUGAAUUUCGUUUUUUCCACAUGCUAUUUCUAUGAAUUCAUCUCACAGUGCCAAUGUAUUAUAACUAAGAUUUCAAUACCAUUGAAUCCCCUCUUUAUAGAAUUUCUUUUUUUAUGUGAGACUGAUAGAAUACUUCCAUUUUCAACCUGCAUGAUAGUUGUUAAUAUACUCAUAUGAGUAAACAACACAGGCCUGUUUUUAAUGAAUUUUCUUUAAAAAAAUAUUUUUUACAAAUUAUAUGGUUUGUUAAGUUAACACUUGUUUAGGUCCUAGGGAGCUUACCAUAAUGAGUUUUAACUUUUUGUGAGAUGUGGAAGGAUUUAUUCUAUUCCUUUAGUAUAAAUUGUUGAUUUCACAUUGUAUCAUCGAAAUAAUAUACUCAAUUAAACCAUUUUUCUUAUACUUAAUAGAAUUUCUAAUUUAAUUUAUAUCUGUUUCUAUAAUUAAUUAUCAUGUAUGUAUUUAUCAUAAAUUAAUCGUUAUUUUAUAGCAAAUAUAAAUAGUAGCCAUA